UGGGGAAUUUUGGACAAUGGGCGAAAGCCUGAUCCAGCAAUGCCGCGUGUGUGAAGAAGGCCUUCGGGUUGUAAAGCACUUUUGUCCGGAAAGAAAUCCUUGGCUCUAAUACAGUCGGGGGAUGACGGUACCGGAAGAAUAAGCACCGGCUAACUACGUGCCAGCAGCCGCGGUAAUACGUAGGGUGCAAGCGUUAAUCGGAAUUACUGGGCGUAAAGCGUGCGCAGGCGGUUUGCUAAGACCGAUGUGAAAUCCCCGGGCUCAACCUGGGAACUGCAUUGGUGACUGGCAGGCUAGAGUAUGGCAGAGGGGGGUAGAAUUCCACGUGUAGCAGUGAAAUGCGUAGAGAUGUGGAGGAAUACCGAUGGCGAAGGCAGCCCCUGGGCAAUACUGACGCUCAUGCACGAAAGCGUGGGGAGCAAACAGGAUUAGAUACCCUGGUAGUCCACGCCCUAAACGAUGUCAACUAGUUGUUGGGGAUUCAUUUCCUUAGUAACGUAGCUAACGCGUGAAGUUGACCGCCUGGGGAGUACGGUCGCAAGAUUAAAACUUCAAAUGAAUUGACGGGGUCAUAGCUG
rnacentral:rRNA from 1 species